AACUUUUGACAAUGGAUCUCUUGGCUCUCGCAUCGAUGAAGAACGCAGCGAAAUGUGAUAAGUAAUGUGAAUUGCAGAAUUCAGAGAAUCAUCGAAUCUUUGAACGCAUCUUGCGCUCCCUGGUAUUCCGGGGAGCAUGUCUGUUUGAGUGUCAUGAACUCUUCAACCCACUAAUUUCUUGUAAAUUAUGUUGGUGUUUGGAUUUUGAGUGUUGCUGGUCUUUAUUGACGUAGCUCAUUCGUAAUACAUUAGCAUCUCUAAUUCGAAUUCGGAUUGACUCGGCGUAAUAGACUAUUCGCUGAGGACAUACUUUAUUGUGUGGCCGAAUAUGAAAGCGGAAGCUUCUAAUCAAAAUAAGUCAAUUUUUAAGAUUAGACCUCAGAUCAGGCAGGAUUACCCGCUGAACUUAAGCAUAUCAAUAAGCGGAGGAU
rnacentral:misc_RNA from 1 species